UGGGGAAUUUUGGACAAUGGGCGAAAGCCUGAUCCAGCAAUGCCGCGUGUGUGAAGAAGGCCUUCGGGUUGUAAAGCGCAUUGCUUUCGGAAUCGGAAAGUCAAUUGCCUUGUCUAAUAUAGCGGGGGAUGACGGUACCGGAAGAAUAAGCGCCGGCUAACUACGUGCCAGCAGCCGCGGUAAUACGUAGGGUGCAGCAGCUGAUUCAUGAUCGGAAUUACUGGGGCGUAAAGCGUGCGCAGGCGGUUUGCUAAGACCGAUGUGAAAUCCCCGGGCUCAACCUGGGAACUGCAUUGGUGACUGGCAGGCUAGAGUAUGGCAGAGGGGGGUAGAAUUCCACGUGUAGCAGUGAAAUGCGUAGAGAUGUGGAGGAAUACCGAUGGCGAAGGCAGCCCCCUGGGCCAAUACUGACGCUCAUGCACGAAAGCGUGGGGAGCAAACAGGAUUAGAUACCCUGGUAGUCCACGCCCUAAACGAUGUCAACUAGUUGUUGGGGAUUCAUUUCCUUAGUAACGUAGCUAACGCGUGAAGUUGACCGCCUGGGGAGUACGGUCGCAAGAUUAAAACUCAAAGGAAUUGACGGGGUCAUAGCUGUUUCCU
rnacentral:rRNA from 1 species